rnacentral:rRNA from 1 species
ACACGUGCUACAAUGGCCGGUACAGACGGACGCAAAGCCGCGAGGGUGGAGCGAAUACCUAAAAAGCCGGCCUCAGUUCGGAUUGCAGGCUGCAAUUCGCCUGCAUGAAGUCGGAAUCGCUAGUAAUCGCAGGUCAGCAUACUGCGGUGAAUACGUUCCCGGGCCUU